CUUUAAACACUUAAAUGGCAUUUAUAUGAUUAAUGUAUUUGAUUUCCUUAAGUACUUAAUUUAUCUGACCAAGACAAAACCUGAUCAAGUACUUAUAUUUCCAAUAAAUUAAGUUUAUAAAUACAGGAAAUCUUAAGUUGUUCUAAAUGUUCUAAAACUACAGAAAGACUUAGCAAUGAUUGUACCACUGUACUCCAGCCUGGGCAACAGAGUGAGACUCCGUCUCAAAAAAAAAAAAAAGAAACUUAGCAAAAUUUCAACUUAAAAUUCGAGUAUAAAUACACACUUUUUAGUUGGCAUUACAAAGCAAACCUGUUACUCUCACAAAUGCUCUUCCAUAUGUCAAGGACUUAAAAUACAAACUGCAUAGAUCCUUACAGCAAAUAGUAAUGAUGUGGGGGUUUGAUGUUUUUAAACACACCUGUUCUUCAUCCUAAGUCCUCCAUCAUUAAAAGAUGCACACCUACCAAGGAAACACCUGAUGCCACUGCAUGUAUUUUGGAGGUUAUCUUCUCAGAUGACUGAGAUUGCAGAACAACCAGAUAUGUUGGUUGGGCCACUGACUAGACUGUGAAAGGACCCAGAAAGUGCUAUUUGUGGCCUCAUAAAGCCCUAUCACAUGGCCUCCAUUACAUAAAAAGGCAGUCAGUCAGCUCACAUCCCUGAGUUUGACGCUAUUCAGGGCCUAACUGCACUUUCUCACAGAAGUCUAGAAUCCCAUCUAGGCUGUCAGAUACCUUGUCUCAGUGGCAAAUUUCCUUGGCUGUCAAAACACAAAAUGUCUUCUCAUCUUGAUGAUUUCUGCUUUUUAUUUCUAGGUGAACCACUGCUCUUAAGAGUGUUUGUUUUUUCAAGAGAUGGGGUGUCACUAUGCUGCCUAGGCUGAUCUCAAACUCCUGGCCUCAAGCUUCCUCCUGACUCAAGCCUCCCAAAGUGUUGGGAUUACAAGUGUGCACGACUGUGCCUAGCAACUCUUAAGUUUUUCAGAUGAAACCUGGUUGAAUGCAGGAUUGCUGUAACAACUUUGACUUCUGGUCACAAUUCCUAAGGUUCUCCUGACAGAAUGCUGGCCUCCUCACCCUUAGUUCAGGGUCUUGUCCUCCGCUCCUCAUUGCCUAUCAUCGUUUAGCUUUCCCCUCUAGAACACCCAUCUUCUUUCUUGAGACUCUCACCUCUUAGCAUCACCCUUUCUGCACCACACCCCCAUGCCAACGAUUCCCAGAGGUCCCUACUCCAUCUCCAGUACUGUGGAGUCCUGCUCCCUUCUCCAUGAUUCUUCCCCAUUCACACUCAUGCUCCCUCUUACAGAACUGAUCUCUCCUCAGAAAAGGGAAAUCUGAUGUUACUUGUUCACACUAAGACAUGCACAGUUGAGUCCUCCUGUUUAUGCUGGGUAAACGAUGCUUCCUAAGAAGAAAUGGAGGAAAAGAAACUAACAUUUACUGAGCACUUACUAGGCACUAAGUUCUGAAUUAACUUAGUUAGUUAAUGAGUUGUCUCAUUCAUUCUCAAUAGCCACAUAAGAGGACCUAUUAAGAAAUCCAGGGCCAGGUGUGGUAGCUCGCACCUGUAAUCCUCCCAGGUGUCUGGUCCAUAUUUGUAAUUUUUAAAAAAUUAUUUUCAAAAAAAAUUAUUAAGAGAAGGGGUCUCACUAUGCUGCCCAAGGUUGGUUCGAACUCCUGGGCUCAAGUGAUCCUCCUGCCUCAGCCUCCCGAAGUGCUGGGAUUACAGGUGUGAGCCACCACACCUGGCCAACACUUAUAUAAUUUAAAUACAUGGAAAGGCAUGGACUAAAAUUGAAUCAAGAGGGGCCUGAUUUGACUGCUAUUACAUUUCAUGGUGUGAGGAGACAACAGCUUCUCCAGGUAUAAUAAGGACUCAUUCGGCUCCACGGCCUCUCACACAGUGCAAGGGGAGCUCAGACCUGAAACCUUCUCACCCAAGGCCCUGGGCUGGUAGUACAGCAGUAAAGUCUGGCUGCCCAGGCAGAAGAGGCAUAAGACACUUCCUGUUUCUCUUCCUCUAGGGUGAGUUUAGGUACUAGACUCUUCUGUCUACCCUCAACUCAAUAUGGUUUAUCUAAGGUGUUUCUCGUUUUUCCCUAUGCUUUUCUUGAGAGAGAAAGAACCACUGGAAAUCUGUUUAGAGAUCACUGAAACCAAGUUUCUGAAUAAAUCACAUAAUAAAUAUAACCACCACCACCACAGCCAUUUAUUAAGUGCUUGCCAGGCACUGUGCUAAAGCUUUACAAACAUUGUUUCAGUUAUUCCAACAACCCUGAGGUAGAUAUUUUCAACAUGCCUCCCUCCACCCAUGUUAUUAUAGUUGAGGAAACUGAGGCUCAGAGAGGUUAAGUAAAUCAACCAAGGUCAAACCCAGCUGGUAAGUAGUGAAGCUAGAAAUUCAAACCAACUAUAUGUGACUCCAAAAUCCAUGCCUUUAAACACUAUCCUAGAUUGUUUACCAUUGAAAGUUAAAGGACAUAUGCUCCUUCCCAAAAUAUGAGAAUAGAUUUUCAGUGGGAAAGCAGGGGGGAGCCCAUAUGUAAAUUCUUUCAUCAGCUAUGGGACUCAAACUCUUGGAGGAGUGGAGAGAUAGUCUGGGUAUAAGCUGACCACUAGGUCCUCUCAUCUCUCCAGCUGCCAGGGCCUUUCUCAUUAAGAUCUCUACUCCUGACAUCUGACUACGCAAUAUACUGUUUCCCUUUCAGCAACCACUGGGAUGCAGAGGUCAGGCACAUUUGGUGACACAGAGCCAAAGACACCUCAGAGAAAUUAGGAGACACUCAAAAAAGUCCACCACCCCUGAACUACUGAUCCCUAAGGCACACAGAUGCAUUUAGAUGGAAACCCUCCAUGAAGGGGACAUGUUCCACGUCAUGUUUGAUGCCCAUCACCACCCUGCAAAGGGGAUAUUGGUAUCUCCUUCUGACAGCUCAGUUCUUCCACACCAGCUUCCCGGGCCUGACAUCAUUCUCACAAAGUCUCCUCAGCAAUCCCUGCACCUCUCCCCUCAACUGGCCCUUGUAGGUGCCCACCCCUAACCCACCUCUGGAGGCCUCACUGACCACACGCCCCCAGGCCUCAAGACUUCCCGUUUCUGAGGUUGUGCCCAACAGAAAUGCCCUCAAAGUGCUCAGCAAGGCUCCAUUCAUCCAUGACCUAUGAGGAUUAAACCAAGAUGGCUGAAGACAAGCAGAAGGGGCUACCACAGUGAGACAAGCUGAACCAGGAUGUACAGAACUGACAAUGGAAGGGCAAGAACACACAGCAGACACAAAACAAGAGGACUAGCCAUGGGCAAAAUAAACAGAGCUGUCAAAAAUCAGAAAAGGGAGACGGCCCUAAGAUGAUCAGGGAUGACCAGAGAGAGGGAUCCUAAAGACAAGUCUAUUCACACUUGCAGCCAUGGAGUUUCUGAGGGAAGGACAACUGUUUAGGAAAAAGGGUCUUGGUAAGGAGGCCGCUGGAGAGACUAGGCAGGAGACAGCUGAAUAAGGGAAACUGCAGGCAGCUCUGGAGAGGGAGGCUGGAACAUCCCUUUAGAGCCAACAGUUUGAGAAGACAUCAGAGAAGUAUGCAGGCAGUGGAAGACAAGCAGCUGAAGGUCUCAAAGGGGAGUAAGACACCAGCUGAAAGGCCAGACUCUGGAGCCCUGAGCUACUUCUAGGUAUACCUCAUCAUCUACCCCAUCUGGGUGAAACUGGUCCCUGAGGGUCAUUCCCUGCAGCCCCUGCUAAAUUCUGUACCAGAUUUUGAAGGGUGGAAGACCCAGAGGUAGGGAACCUACUGAGAGGCGAGACGCAGCCCCAUUUUUGGGAAGUUCCCAUUCUGAAAGAGAGAACCACCAACCCGCAUUCCUUCAUCCUUGGAUCCUCUAAGGCACUCACUGCAUUCAAGUCACAAAACUGAGGAAGAAAUACUAGUAUAAAUUAAUACUGUCCUUGAAGUUUGAAAGGACAGCAGAAUAUGAGAAGUAACACAGAGACAUGGGAAGAGCCAAGGUGGGCUGCUCCACACCUGAAGACUCAUCCUAUUACUGAACCUCAGCACUGUUUACACAUCUGGCCUCAGAGGCCUCAGAGCCCCUCCACACAGCCACAGCUGCACUGAUGUGGGGUUGUGGGGACAUCAACGUUGCUAGGAAGCGUAGAGUAGCGAGGCCCUCUCGGGGGAGCCCAGAGGCUUACAAGGAGCCUGGGUAGAGCUUUGCUCUCUACUGGUUUCCUCCUCUCUCAACAGUCCCUAAUCUUGUCCACACAGGGUGCACGAUAUACAAGUGUGGCCUUAUAACCUCUGGUUGCUUCAUGUAAUUUCUUCCCCAACUAAGCAGAAGCUCCUGGGAUUUGAUAAGGACCAGAUUUUCCUCACGCCCUACAGUGCUGGAAUGUAACAAGUACUUGUCACAGGUGGGCUAUGAGGGGUGUUGACUAUUACAAAAACAUUUUCCACAAAUGGCAAACACAUGUCAAAACUUUUCCACUGUUAUUCUUUGCCUUAUAGCUUGUACCUGACACUCAUCUAUUUCUAUCUUUGUUGGCUCAUGCCCAAAGAUGUCUGUUCCUAUAUCCAUCUCAGGCUGGCAACUGGGUCCCUAAUCUUUGUUAAGAAAUACAAGCUCUGCCCACUUGUGGCAAUACUGAAAGAGGAUGUAGCCCAGGAGUCUCUGGGGGCAGAGGGAGGGAGUGUCUCCCCAUACUGGGCUGGCCCACUGAUAAGGAUCCUUCCCCUCUCUGUCUCCUAACAGAUUCAGAUUAAUGAUCGCUCAUUCCUAAUUGUCAAAUUUCUUUUCCUUCAUCCUGUGUCUAAUCACCAGUGACAGAAACCAUUACGCAAAUGAGAGCAGACGACUUCCCCCAACUGUUCACGUUGGUAAAAACCUUGUAAUUUAGAGCUCUGAUUUGUAGGGGAAGCUGGUCUCCCCCAGGCAUCCUGGGCAUCUGCUCAACUGAUGCCCAGAACAGCCCCUCCUCCAACCCCAGAACUCCAACCCCCAACAAAUAUUUGACUUUACAAAACACUAGUUUUCUCUGUACCUGCUGGUGUGAAUAGAUGAGCCUGCAGCGUAGCUGACCUCUAUACAGGCCCAAACCCCCACCUUCACUUGCUGUAUGUGUGUGUCCCACACUGCCAGCUAGGAUGGAGGUAAACAACUACAGCAGAAAUGUUUCCUCUGUGGCAAGCAGAAUUUGAGCCUAAACAUCCCUCAAAAGGUAAUCGAAGGGGAAAAACCUCAUCUUUUCCUUGGGGGGAAGCAGCAGCUGAAUAUGAACCAAGACCCUUAGUGCCAUCUAGAACUACAGCUUCAGUUCUAUAGAUGCAAAAGCAUGCCGGGAGGAGUUAUGGGUCCUAUUCAAGGACACAUAAGUAAUGCAAUUAGACACAGAACUCAGUUCCCCCCACAGCUUCUUCUAGCACUAAUUCAUAAUAUGGCUUCCCAGGCAGUUUUUCCAAGACUUUGUUAGCAGGAGCCCAGAAGAACUUUCACCCUGAGCUGUAUAUUCUGCACCAUCUUGGGCUGGGUCUGCCUUCAGAUACUGCCCAGUGGGGUGAUAUCUUGAGGACAGAACCUGUGGUACAAGGAGGGAGGUAAGGAAGGAAAAUCAACAUAGUUUGGUGGAAAGGAAGGAGCAAGGGGUUUGCAGCCUAACAGUGCUAAGUUACAACUGAUUGUCACUAAUCACCUAAUCUCUCUGAGCCCAUUUAUUCAUCUGUAAGUGAGAAUACCUACCUUGCAGGAUAGUGAGGAACAAAGAGAAAAGCACUAGGCACAUAUUAGGUGUCUAAAAAUCAGGAAUCACUCUUGUGUUACCCAAGGAUCAAGGCCAAUCCUGUGAAGGUUCCAAGAUUAGCCUUCUCCCUCCCACCCCUCAGCCACCUUAGUGAGACCUGUGUCAGCAAAUAACUCAGCAAGGACCAGCUGAGUGCAUGCCUCCUUGACACAUCACCCACAUCUUUGAGCGCUGAGCGAGGAAUACAGCAGACCUGCUGAGGAGAACGAAAAUAAUCUACUAUCUUUCCAAGUGUGACUGUGGCCAAGUUUUUCCUCCGCUCCUGUGCUCCUCUUUCCCAAAAGAAGUGGAGAGAUAGAGAUCACUGCAAUCACAUUUCCCAGCAUUGACUAUAUUUGAAAGAGCUACACUUGAGAAGGUACCAUAUCUUCACAUCCACACUGCAUCAGAGAACCCCAGAAUGGGGUACUAAAAAUAAACACCCCUCCCCAAAAAACGCACUCAG
rnacentral:lncRNA from 10 species